UACGUAGGGGGGCUAGCGUUGUCCGGAUUUAUUGGGCGUAAAGAGCGUGUAGGCGGCCAGGUAGGUCCGUUGUGAAAAACUCGAGGCUCAACCUCGAGACGUCGGCGGAAACCAUCUGGCUAGAGUCCGGAAGAGGAGAGUGGAAUUCCUGGUGUAGCGGUGAAAUGCGCAGAUAUCAGGAAGAACACCCCGUGGCGAAGGCGGCUCUCUGGGACGGUACUGACGCUGAGACGCGAAAGCGUGGGGAGCAAACAGG
rnacentral:rRNA from 1 species